CCUACGGGGUGCACCAGUGGGGAAUAUUACACAAUGGGCGCAAGCCUGAUGCAGCCAUGCCGCGUGUAUGAAGAAGGCCUUCGGGUUGCAAAGUACUUUCAGCGGGGAGGAAGGUGUUGAGGUUAAUAAUCUCAGCAAUUGACGUUACCCGCGGAAGAAGCACCGGCUAACUCCGUGCCAGCAGCCGCGGUAAUACGGAGGGUGCAAGCGUUAAUCGGAAUUACUGGGCGUAAAGCGCACGCAGGCGGUCUGUCAAGGCGGAUGUGAAAUCCCCGGGCUCAACCUGGGAACUGCAUUCGAAACUGGCAGGCUAGAGUCUUGUAGAGGGGGGUAGAAUUCCAGGUGUAGCGGUGAAAUGCGUAGAGAUCUGGAGGGAUACCGGUGGCGAAGGCGGCCCCCUGGACAAAGACUGACGCUCAGGUGCGAAAGCGUGGGGAGCAAACAGGAUUAGAUACCCGGGUAGUC
rnacentral:rRNA from 1 species